rnacentral:rRNA from 1 species
UCGGCUCGAGGACGACGCUGGCGGCGUGCUUAACACAUGCAAGUCGAGCGAGAAGGGGACUUCGGUUCCUGAGUACAGCGGCGAACGGGUGCGUAAGACAUGAGUAAUCUACCCUUGAGGCGGGAAUAACCCAGCGAAAGUUGGGCUAAUACCGGGAUAAGCCCACAGGAGGAGACUUCAGGGGGCAAAGGUCGCGUUCUUUGGGAGGCGAUCCUUCAGGGAGGAGCUCAUGUCCUAUCAGCUAGUUGGUAGGGUAACGGCCUACCAAGGCGAAGACGGGUAGCUGGUCUUAGAGGAUGAUCAGCCACACGGGGACUGAGACACGGCCCCGACUCCUACGGGAGGCAGCAGUGGGGAAUAUUGGUCAAUGGAUGCAAGUCUGAACCAGCCAUGCCGCGUGCAGGAAGACGGCCUUCUGGGUUGUAAACUGCUUUUGCCAGGGGAUAAAAGGCCCAUGCGUGGGACAUUGAAGGUACCUGGUGAAUAAGCCACGGCUAACUACGUGCCAGCCGCCGCGGUAAUUC